GCGAGAGUGGCGGAACUGGCAGACGCGCACGUUUGAGGGGCGUGUGGGCGACCGUGGGGGUUCGAGUCCCCCCUCUCGCA
rnacentral:tRNA from 1 species